AACCAGAGUAACAGGAAGAAACCCAAGGGGACAACAUGCAAACUCCAUGCACACAGAGACAGGAAUUGAGCACGGACCCUGAAGGUGCAAGGCGACAGUGCUAACCACUACACGCCAUGCUUAUAACAGUGUUUCCCAAAGUGUGGACUUAGGCCCUCUAGUGGUUCGCGAAGGUCAAGUCAAAGGAGCUGUUGAUGUUUAGCUGAGAGUGGGCUCUCUGUGUCUUCCUAAGGGUCAACAACCAUACCUUUUGGUACUACAGGUGGCAGCGAGAGACCACGGACAAUACAGUAAAUGAAUAUGGAAUAUGUUCCAGUUAGAGUACCAGACUUCACCAUUUCCAGGUAAAGCUUUCCUGUUUUGUUUCAACAGCAAAUUGCAUCUACCAGUUUUACCACAGUGGAGACCACUAGCAGUCUGGUGCUGGUGUGGGGUGUUGUGGGCCACUCCCUACAUGCUGCUAAUUGGUGUAAUCACUGCAGUAAUGAAGUAUGGUGGUUUCUCCAAGUGUGAUUACAGGUCAUCAGUUCUCAGAGGAAAUGAAGGGGUUGGGAAGCAGAGGAAUUCUCUGUGAUAUGGGUGUUGUUGCUCAUUUACGGGAUGUGCGACUCAGGCGUGUGCUGUUGUUUUGACACUGUUGCUGAUGGUAGCUGCUGUCAGGCAUUCUGUCAGGAAGUAAACAAACUGAGUGCAGAUGCUCUUUGAUAUUCACCAGCUUCCUUGUUCAAGUCUUAUCUUAGAGUUUGCCACUUUCUACAGGAUAUCGUGCUUUGUGAGUGUAUGCCCAGAGGAAACCUUUCUUUGGUUUAAAGUUUCUCUUUGAUACCACAGGAUAUGUAAUACUGAUCACUUGUGUUUCAUUUAGAUAUCACACAUGUUUCUACUAACAAUCUUUAGGAGAAAUAUAUGAACAAAAAAAGAGACAUGUCAAGUGGGAUUGGGUAAAGCUGGAUUUAAACACACAAUCACUUUAAUAAAAUUAGUGGAGUUACUACUGGACCAUAGUUGUUUGUUAACACUUUAAGGUCGUUACAUUCUAGUUUCCUAAGUUAUUUAUCAUUUAAGUUUUGCAUACAAAAAUGUAAAAAAAAAAAAUAAAUACACCGAUCAGCCAUAGCAUUAUGACUGCUGGCAGUUGAAGUGAACAACAUUGAUCACCAACUAUACACCAGCAAGGGGAAUUGGUGGCUCUAUGUAGGUUAAAUUCAUUCCUGUACAUUCACAUUAUACAUUGUUUGACUGUGACCAUACCUAACUACCAUCUCUCCUUCUCUUCUGCUCUCUUCUCUUCUCU